rnacentral:rRNA from 1 species
GUUAAGCGACUAAGCGUACACGGUGGAUGCCCUGGCAGUCAGAGGCGAUGAAGGGCGUGCUAAUCUGCGAUAAGCGCCGGUAAGGUGAUAUGAACCGUUAUAACCGGCGAUACCCGAAUGGGGAAACCCAGUGUGACUCGUCACACUAUCAUUAACUGAAUCCAUAGGUUAAUGAGGCGAACCGGGGGAACUGAAACAUCUAAGUACCCCGAGGAAAAGAAAUCAACCGAGAUUCCCCCAGUAGCGGCGAGCGAACGGGGAGGAGCCCAGAGCCUGAAUCAGCAUGUGUGUUAGUGGAAGCGUCUGGAAAGGCGCGCGAUACAGGGUGACAGCCCCGUACACAAAAGCGCAUGUGCUGUGAGCUCGAUGAGUAGGGCGGGACACGUGGUAUCCUGUCUGAAUAUGGGGGGACCAUCCUCCAAGGCUAAAUACUCCUGACUGACCGAUAGUGAACCAGUACCGUGAGGGAAAGGCGAAAAGAACCCCGGCGAGGGGAGUGAAAAAGAACCUGAAACCGUGUACGUACAAGCAGUGGGAGCACAGGUUUACCUGUGUGACUGCGUACCUUUUGUAUAAUGGGUCAGCGACUUAUAUUCUGUAGCAAGGUUAACCGUAUAGGGGAGCCGUAGGGAAACCGAGUCUUAACCGGGCGUUAAGUUGCAGGGUAUAGACCCGAAACCCGGUGAUCUAGCCAUGGGCAGGUUGAAGGUUGGGUAACACUAACUGGAGGACCGAACCGACUAAUGUUGAAAAAUUAGCGGAUGACCUGUGGCUGGGGGUGAAAGGCCAAUCAAACCGGGAGAUAGCUGGUUCUCCCCGAAAGCUAUUUAGGUAGCGCCUCGUGAAUUCAUCUCCGGGGGUAGAGCACUGUUUCGGCUAGGGGGCCAUCCCGGCUUACCAACCCGAUGCAAACUGCGAAUACCGGAGAAUGUUAUCACGGGAGACACACGGCGGGUGCUA